UACGGAGGGUGCAAGCGUUAUCCGGAUUCACUGGGCUUAAAGGGUGCGUAGGUGGGCAGGUAAGUCAGUUGUGAAAUCUCCGGGCUUAACUCGGAAAGGUCAACUGAUACUGCGCGGCUAGAGUGCGGAAGGGGCAACUGGAAUUCACGGUGUAGCAGUGAAAUGCGUAGAUAUCGUGAGGAACACCAGAGGCGAAGGCGGUUACCUGGACAAUUACUGACGCUCAGGCACGAAAGCAUGGGGAGCAAAAGGG
rnacentral:rRNA from 1 species